AUGGUGUGGAAGGAGCAGCCAGGCAAGAGGGAACUGCCAGGCAAGGCUGGUUUUCACCAGCUGUCAGUCCCCGGUUUUAGGGUGAUGAAGGAAGGAAAGCUGAGAGCCCAGGGCAGCUCAUCCACGAGCUCUCCCCGUCCCGCAGGCACAGGUGACAGAGGCACGAGGGGAAGGGAGGGCAAAGGGCUGUGUCUGAGCUUGGGCACUGAUACCCGAUGGCGGCUCUCGCUGUGGCCAGCACCAUCCCGGGGAGUGUAUCUGUGUCCCUGUCCCCAGACCGCUGCCUGCGGGUCCCCGGGCACCCAUGGGGUCCGCACCGCCUCCGCCCCAUGGCGGAGACCGUCCCGGCGGCCCCGCCAGCUCCCGGCAGGGCGAUCUCGGUGCGCUGCCCGCCCCUGCCCGCCCCGGGCGGGCGCGGGGCCCAGCGGAGCGCGGCUCCCCCGCGGUUUCCCACCCAGCAGUGACACCUGGCGGGGGCAGCGCGGGCGGAGCCGGCCCCGGCCCCCGCAUCUACAUCCCGCAUCCUGCAUCCCGCAUCCCGCAUCCCCAUCCCCAUCCUCAUCCCUAUCCCCAUCCCGCAUCUGCAUUCCGCAUCCCACAUCCCCAUCCCGCAUCCUGCAUUCCCAUCCCGCAUCCCCAUCCCGUAUCCCCAUCCCGCAUCCCGCAUUCUGCAUCCCCAUUCUGCAUCCCCAUCCCGCAUCCCCAUCCCGCAUCCCGCUGAGCCCCUUCCCCGGGCGGGGUCCGACGGGGCGGCCGCGAGCGGCGGCUCCCGGCGCAUCCCCGCGGGCGCGGCGGUGGGAGCGGCCCCAGUGCGGGGCGGCGCGGGGGCAGGAGCCCGGAGGGGGCUGUCCGACGUGCCCUCGGGGAGGCGGGGGUCGGUCCGGCCGGAGCGGCGGCUCCGCGCCUCUGACUCUGCCCAAUGAGAGCCCGCAGCACGGCGGGCGCCGGCAAUAUUUGGCCGCGGCCCCCGCGCUCCCAUCCCCAGAGCGCCCUCGCCCUCCGCGCAAGGCCCUCCAUGGCCCGGCCCGGCCCCGCCGCCCGCCCCGCGCCGCUCGGGGGGCGCGGGCCCCGCUGAGCGCCCCCGGCCCCGCGGGGAGGGACCCGCGCCCGCCGCCCCCCGCGGCAGCAUGA
rnacentral:lncRNA from 1 species